rnacentral:rRNA from 1 species
GGCUCAGUAACACGUCGGUAACCUACCCUCGGGAGGGGGAUAACCCCGGGAAACUGGGGCUAAUCCCCCAUAGGCCUGAGGUACUGGAAGGUCCUCAGGCCGAAAGGGGCUUUCGCCCGCCCGAGGAUGGGCCGGCGGCCGAUUAGGUAGUUGGUGGGGUAACGGCCCACCAAGCCGAAGAUCGGUACGGGCCAUGAGAGUGGGAGCCCGGAGAUGGACACUGAGACACGGGUCCAGGCCCUACGGGGCGCAGCAGGCGCGAAACCUCCGCAAUGCGGGAAACCGCGACGGGGGGACCCCCAGUGCCGUGGCAUCGCCACGGCUUUUCCGGAGUGUAAAGAGCUCCGGGAAUAAGGGCUGGGCAAGGCCGGUGGCAGCCGCCGCGGUAAUACCGGCGGCCCGAGUGGUGGCCGCUAUUAUUGGGCCUAAAGCGUCCGUAGCCGGGCCCGUAAGUCCCUGGCGAAAUCCCACGGCUCAACCGUGGGGCUUGCUGGGGAUACUGCGGGCCUUGGGACCGGGAGAGGCCGGGGGUACUCCUGGGGUAGGGGUGAAAUCCUAUAAUCCCAGGAGGACCGCCAGUGGCGAAGGCGCCCGGCUGGAACGGGUC